CUGCUGCUCGCCGCCGGCACCGGCGUUAGCGUCCUCCGCGGAUGAUCUGGUCACCGUCAUGUUCGGCAUCAGUACGUACGCACGCAGCAACGACAGACACGACCCAAACGAGAAUUAAGAUGUGUGUGAUCUACAAAGUAGAAACUGAGCAAUGUGUAUGCGGUCUAGCCUGCCCUCUACUCUAUAGAUGGAUUGAUAGAUGGUUGGAUAUGCACAAGCAAGCACACUAUUGCCACUAAUGCAUGCAUCAAAUCCCUACUACUAAUGCCGAUUUAGCGGUGAUAUCACCAGUUCCUCUGGCCAUACCGCAAUGCGUCUAAGUGGGGGUCAGUUCGGGCUCAGCCGCGGGGGUGGGAGUGGGCACCGGUGCUGGUGUGGGAGUAGGCACGGGUACGGGUUCAGGAGUAGGAGCGGACGUGCGAGCGCUUCUUGCGGACCCACUUGAGCGGGGCAAGGUCUUCCGGCGCGGCGAUGGCGAUGGCGAUGGCGAUGCCGCCGCUGCUGCUGCUGCCGCCGCCGAGGUCGGUUCCCUGGGUGGCCUGGGCGGCGAGGUUGUAGAGCCCGCCACCACCGAGGUCGCCUCCCUGGGUGGUCUAGGCGGUGAGGUUGUAGAGCCCGCCGUCGAGGCUGUUGUAUGCCUGGGAGGCUUGGGCGACGAAGGUGUAGACCGCCCCGCCGAGGCUGUUGGAUGGCUCGAAGGCUUGGGUGGACAAGUUGUAGAGCGCGCCGCCGAGGUUGAGUCCUUGGGAGGAGUGCGCAGCAGCAUUGUACAGCUGGUGGUCCCUCAGGAUGGCAGCGGAUGAGGAUGACGGACACCCUCGUUGCUGGCGCAGGUCGAGCGAGGCGCGGGAGAGGUAGGACGUGAGGCUCGACCUGUCGGCAUCCACGGCCGGGGCGCCGUCGCGCUCGUCCAUGCUUGGUGUGGUCGAGCGCGACGGCGCCCUGGCCAUGGACGCCGACAGCUUGAGCCUCGUGUCCUACCUCGCCCGCGCCUCCCUCGAGUAGCGCCGGCCACGAGGGCGUCCGGCGUCCUCAUCUGCUGCCAUCGUGAGCGACCAUCAGAUGUACAACAUCGCCGAGCACUCCUCCCAGGGACUCAACCUCGGCGGCAGGCUCUACAACUUGGCCGCCCAAGCCUCCGAGGCAUCCAACAGCCUCGGCGGGGCGGUCUACACCUUCGUCGCCCAAGCCUCCCAGGCAUACAACAGCCUCGACGGCGGGCUCUACAACCUUUCCACCCAGGGAGGCGACCUCGGCGGCGGGCUCUACAACCUCGCUGCCCAGGCCACCCAGGGAGCCGACCUUGGUGACGGGCUCUACAACCUUGCCGCCCAGGUCACCCAGGGAAGCGACCUCGGUGGCAGCGGCGGUGGCGGCAUUGACAUCGAUCGCCGCGCCAGAUGACCCCGCUACCUGCAUGGAAAAUGAAAUCAGACAAUCCAAAGACGGCGUUAGCGAGCACGAGAACCACGUCAAACACUUGGGAUACAGAUUGAAACAAACAGCAAAGAAAUUCUUCCCUCAUCGCGCGAAUUCUAUCUAAACCAAAACCAGUUCCAAAAAGCAACCACGUCUACGAACUGUGAAAUUGGAUUGCGAACCCUGAACGUUCAAAGAUCUGUUCGACAGAAAUCCAUACAGAAACAAUCGGGCGAAAGCAUGAAUCUUCCGCCAUGAUCAUGUUGCCGCUGCGAAAAUAGACCAAACAGAAAUCCUACUAAAACAGAACAAAAUCGACGGGAGACUCUGGAACCAGUCACAACAGCCGUCGAGUAGGGAAAAAGGAAAGAAUAUGCGGCCGACAACCAAACCGGGAAAGAUUGGUAAAAUGAAUCCAGCUGUGAGAUGAGACAGGAAGGCAAGCAACAGAACAACAUCAGGAACCAUACGGAGCACCGGUGACCUGAAGAUUAGAUAAACUCUGCUCCAGGCAAAACAAAAAAAACAGACGCACACCACAAGAUCUGGUUGAUGGUGGCCGUGCCGACGAUUGAGAGCAUGAGAAGAGGGAUCCAUGCCCUCGCUUUGUCGGCGAACCCCAUUGAUGUUGAUGCAUAGAAGGCUCCUCCAGAGAGGCUUCCCGUCGGACCGUCACAGUGGCGUGAGGCUCGAUCUGGGAAGAGGAAAGGGUUGGGAGCAGAAAGGGUUGGCGGCGGCUAGGGGAGGAAAGAGGACUCUUGUGCGGUUUGA
rnacentral:lncRNA from 1 species